GGGGGGGGGAUGAAAAACAAGAGAAAGAUCAUUCAUUCAUUUUAUACACUAAUUAUCUUCUCGUUUGCGUUUUCUUCAUCUGAACACAAAGUAAAGAAACACCAUCAGCGAACACGUCGCAACAAAGAUAGCACACAUUCGCAGUAGACGAAACACCAGGUUGAUCAGCCGCAUCAGGACGGCCAUCCAUACGUACUGCACUACAUAGAUAAACCAAUAGAUAGAAGCCAUGGACGCCAUGGAAGCAUAUGCUUCCGGCCUUGACAAUGUAAAAAAUUAUCCAAUUUUUUUCCACAUCUCUCUCAUAUAAUGCAAAUAUAUAUAUAUAUAUAUAUAAACCUUGAGUAGGUGACCAGUGUUUAAUACUACUGAUUUUCACUCAAAAUAA